AACCUUUAGCUAAAAACCAAUAUUAAAGGCAACGCCUGCCCAGUGAACAAUUAAACGGCCGCGGUACCCUAACCGUGCAAAGGUAGCGUAAUCACCUGUCUAUUAAUUGUAGACCCGUAUGAAUGGCAAAAUGAGGGCCUAACUGUCUCUUAUAAUAAAUCAAUUAAACUGAUCUCCCAGUUCAAAAGCUGGAAUACACACAUAAGACCAGAAGACCCUGUGAAGCUUAAACUAAACUAUUAAAUUAUAUAAUAGCUCCUUUCGGUUGGGGCGACCUUGGAAAAUAAAAGAACUUCCAAACACAUGACCUACCUCACAACCAUCUAAGGCCAACAAGCCAAACAACGACCCAGCACAGCUGAUAAUUGAACCAAGUUACUCCAGGGAUAACAGCGCUAUCUUCUUCAAGAGCCCAUAUCAAAAAGAAGGUUUACGACCUCGAUGUUGGAUCAGGACAUCCUAAUGGUGCAGCCGCUAUUAAGGGUUCGUUCGUUCAACGAUUAAUAGUCCU
rnacentral:rRNA from 1 species